ACUCCCAUUAUUUUGAGGACCGGGUUGGCGCGACUGAAUCACUGCAGUCGUUUGGCAACCCGAGAUCUGGGCUUCGAAAGGCUUAUCAGGCGAAAGGCCGUGGAAACCACCGGGACUUUGAGACUCGGUGGGCCCUACCCCGCUUCCCUUCGGGUGACGGCGCUGUGACGAGCAACUGACAGGCGCAACGAAAGGCAGCCCUCUGCUGUCUGGAGAAAAGCAGAGGCCUGAGCUACCGGCCUCGGGAGGGAGCCGAGGGCAGUGCUUGGGGCAGCGGGUCACAGCGGCUGAAAGCGCGCGUGGGAAGCGGGGGCUCUAGGUGCAAUAAGAGUUUCGGGAUGUCAGAGAAAGAUGUCUCCCGGAAGGAGGCAGGCUAAAGCGUGGGUACCACUACCUGCCUCAAGACAGGUGGGAGAGAAGGGGAUGAGGCUGGUGUCAAAGAUCAAGGGUCCCGCGCUCUGAGUUCAGGGAGUUAGUUUGAUGUAGGAGGCAUAGGUCAGAGGUCUCACGCAAGUGAGAAGGCUCUAAGGGGAGUCACAAACCCGGGGAGUUGACUCUUCUGGGAGGAUUGAAUCUUCUCUAGCGAGCUGCUCUAUCAGGUUAGAAUUCAAGGAGAUGUUAUCUCGUGGGGGGUCGGCCAAAGGCUGGCAAAGCCAAGCCUGUCAAAGGUCAUAGGAUUGGCGGGCCCUCUAAGACUCGCUGUAGAUAAGCGACUUCACUUGAUUUACUGUUCUGUCAUGCGUGCUCCUCUCUUGACCAGAGGGGUCUCAGUCACCAUGGAGGACCGGCACCCCAAAGAGGCCAUGGAGCAGCAGGAUUCGUCCAAGGAGAGACGUCCCCAAAGUCCGGGAGGUGACAUCUAUGAAAACGCCGUUUCCACUUGCCUCGGAAGUGGUAGAACCAGGAGUCAGUUCCAGGCAGUCUGGCUCCAGAGGCUGUGCUCUUGUCACACGGCUCUGUAGGAAGGGCAGACCCCCUGGUUCCGGUCCUGACUCCGCCGUUUCAUUUCCUAGCUUCAUGACUGUCGGCAAGUUACCUAACCUUUCUGAGCCUCGGUCUGCUCAUCCAUAACACAGGUCCAGCCACUUGGGGGCCCUGCAGUGCACCCGCUGCCUCAUCACCUUCGCAGACUCCAAGUUCCAGGAGCGUCACAUGAAGCGGGAGCACCCAGCGGACUUCGUGGCCCAGAAGCUGCAGGGGGUCCUCUUCAUCUGCUUCACGUGCGCCCGCUCCUUCCCCUCCUCCAAGGCCCUGAUCACCCACCAGCGCAGCCACGGUCCAGCGGCCAGGCCCUCCCAGCCGGCUGUGCCCACCACCACCCCACCCACCUUCCCCUGUCCUGACUGUGGCAAGACCUUUGGGCAGGCCGCUUCUCUGAGGCGGCAUCGCCAGGCGCACGAGGCCCACCCCCUUCCUGGCCCCUUCGCCUGCACUGAGUGCGGGCAGGACUUUGCCCAGGAAGCAGGGCUGCAUCAGCACUACAUCCGGCAUGCCCGGGGGGAGCUCUGAGUGUUGGUCCAGCCCUCCCUAGGGCAGUGGAAGCUCUGUGGCUGGUGGGACCCCCGUCUGAUAUGGGAUGGGAGCCUUGGAGGGAUUUACUUUCCUCCCUAGAAAGGCAAAGGACUCCUGAUCAAUAGGACCCAGAAGAUGCUCAUUUAGAGCUUCCGUCUUUGGAAGACACAAAAGCCUUCAGGGAAACAGUAAAAUCAAACAAUAGUGAGAUCUUUUGUUUAAAAAAAUGAAAUUAACAAGAAAGAGGGAAAUUUGUUAUUUGUAUCUUCCUCGUUCCCAAUUAAAUAGUUUGAAAUCACAACUAGCUGCAGAUUGUGUUAUCACCAUUAAUUCUUCCCAGAUGGAUGCGAUGGGGCUGCAAGAGCCAAGUGCCUGGAUUUGGGCCUGAAUGGGGGAGGGAAAGUGAGGUGUCGCCUGCCUGUAAUGCCACCGAACGGGUCCCACACGUGGAGCAACUUGAGCCUUUGGGGAUGGGACAGCAAAGUCGGAGGCUGUACUGAGUCAUGUGAGGGUUGCAAUCUGGGCCCUUGUCUCUUCCCACUCCCUGCCAGCCUUUCCCACUCAAGGAGGGGCCAUGGCAUUGGAUGGCUCUGCCCUCCUCCUCCCCAGAUAAUUUAUUGUUCAUUUAAAUAAUUUUAUGUACCAUUCUGGUCAUAGAAUAUUUUUUGUAUGUGUAGGUGAGGUGGCAUGAAUAAACUAACAGAAAUAGUAUCUAAAAACAAAAGGUCCACAAUAAAAUGUCUAAACAAGGAACUCUGGCUUUUGAGCAGGAAUUCCCAGAGAACAUAAGGGCAUGGGGAGUGGGGAGCUCAGGGCAGACCUGGCCUGGCCCUGUGGGCAAACUGGUUUGGAGUCAAACAGAGAUACCUUCUGUUUCCUGUUGUAUUUGGCCAACACAGGGAGAUAUUCCAUUAAGAUCCUAUUUUCAGCUCUUGAAAGGCCCAACCCUGGGCUGAGUUCCACUGGACCAGUUUUACUCCCUUGCAUUACCUGCCCUGCCCCUAGAGACAAUGGUCGAUGCCCUGCAUACAAUAAUCACAGCACUGCAUACAAUAAUCACAGACUGCAUUUGAAUUGAGGGAUAUUUUGAAAGCCCACAGGUGAGAUGGAUAUGGUAGAGACCGAGCUAUCUCCCACUUCUAAGCUAGGCACACGGUGGCUACAAAGACUGCCUUUCCCAGAUUUCCUUGCAGCCUGAUGUGGCCACGUGACUGAGUUCUGACUAAAUUCCUGGGUAGAGUCCUCAAGCUUCAGAAAGGAACCUGCCUUUCCUCCACCUUCUCGCCUGGAAUGUGGACAUGGUAUCCAGCCAUCUUGGACCAUGAGAGCGACAACAGGAUGGCAGAGCAAGAAGACAGCAGGAGGCUGGGUCUGCUAUCACUACUGCUCCCCCCACCCUUCCAGUCUCUCUACUACAGACCACCCCCUGUGUACAUGUAAGUCAGCUUACAUCACUCCUCAUUCAAAACCCUCCAACGGCAUCCCAUAAGUAACAUCCAAAGGCCUUACCCAGGCCCACAAAACCCAACAGUGAUUAGGUCCCAGCCCAUUAAGCAAUCUCAACUCCCUCCCGGUUCUGUCUUUUUCACUACACUCUAGCCACACAUGCCAGGCUGGCAUCUGCCUCAGAGCCUUUGCACUUGCUGUUCCCUCUUACCCAGAACUUUGCAAGGCUGCCUCCUCAUUAUUCAGGUCUCAAUACCUGCCACUUCAGAGAGGUCCUCCUUGGCUAAAAUAGCACCUCCAACCCUUAGCCUGAUUUAGUUUCUUCCCAGCACUCUUCAACACUUGGAAUUAUCACACCUGUGUUUCUGUCAUCAUCCGUGUCCUUCCUCUAGAAUCCAAGCUUCUGAGGGCAAGUGGGUUGUCUUCCUCAUUGCUUCAUCCCCAGAACCUAGGAUAGCGCUUACCAUGGAGGCUCAAGAAAGAACUCCUUGACUGUGCCCAGCUGUUUACCUAUUUCUCAGCCUCAGCCCACCCUUCCACACUGCUCUGUGAGGCUGGGCUUUCUGCAGCUAUGCUUCCCAGACUCCCUGGAGAGCUGGCUUCCUUAAGUUCAUCCCACAGGAGGUAUGGGCAGAAGGAAGGUUGGAAGAGGGGAGAAGGGACUCACCUUGCCUUGGGCGCCUGCUGGAACCCCUCCAGCAGCAGUUCGGGCUCCAAUACCUUUCUACACUCUCAGAACAAGGCACUGUGCCCCUCUUGGGGUUUAAGCAGCAGCUGUGUGGUAGCCAGUCCCUGCACCAGCCACACACGUGGCGAGGCCUGCCCUCCAAGCUCCCACUGGGUUCUGGUCAUUGCGCUUCUCUUUCUGCAUCCCAGUCCUAGAGGUGGGAGCUUCUUGCAGACACUCAUUUCUCAGUCACCUCACUUUUCCAUGUUUGUGCUCUCAGCGUUUUAGUACCUGUGUAACCAACUCCCGGUACUGAAUCCUCUGUAAUUCCUAGCUUGGUCUCCAUAUCCUGCCUGGGCCCUGAAGAACUGAAUGACCCCAUUGGCAGUAGCCUAGGUCUCUUGAUUCCCAGUCUCUCGUGAUCCUUAGGAACUUUUGAUGAUGAAUGGAUAAUUCGCUACUUCUAUGCUUAGAAAGCCCUGUCUUAGGGCAGAAGAGGGCUUAGGCAUGUUGCUCCAGGAAAUAAGAUCCAUCCAUGUUGUUUUAAUGAGCUGUGAAUUUCUGCUUUGAUGAUUCUGAGAUUCAUUGAUGCUAAGCUAUAGUGGUUAUGAAAGUCUCAAAGAGUGCAUAAAUAUAAGAUUCUGAGCUUCUAGGAUGAAAAGUAUGGGUUUUGAAAGAUGCUUUGGUCAAGGUCCUGUAACAGGCGUCAGAACGUAAAUGCUCUUUGGGGCCAAGCAGGUACCAUAAAUCAGUGAGGCAAGCAGGGUGUAAGGGGUCCAGAUGCCAGACAGUGGGGACUGGGCAUGUGGGAGGGAAUGCCCCAUUAAUAGGAGGUGACCCCUACUCAGCUCCAGCAGACUAUUGCCCCAUGGGAUUGUGGGUUCAGCAAUCAGUCUCACAAGGAAGCCAGAAACUUCCAUUUUUGUGUCAAACCUGCCCAUUUUUAAAUGUUGGUAACCAACGUGAUUAAAAAAACCUCAAUAACUCUGGAGACCAAAUACACUCCUGCAAGUCAGAUGGUGGCUGUGGACAGCCAUUUCUGGUGUGUGGCUUAGUGGCUAAGAAUGGGUGCCUUACCUCCAGUUGUCUGGAUUCAAACCUGGCCUCUGCUUCUUCCCAGCUGUGUGACCUCUAGAAGAUUACUCAACCUCUCUGUGCCCUGGUUGUAGCAGUUGUAAAAUGGUCAUGAUAGUAGCCCCUACGCCUCUAAGAAUUAUGAUGAUGAUGACAGACUCGGAGAGAAAGUCAGAGUCGGUAUUAAUGGCCUGUGUGACCCGGUCCUCUUCCCCUCUGCUUUUCUCUGCCCCUCUCAGCUCUUGUGUUCCCACCAGUCUUCCCCCUGCCUUCCUCAGCAACAGCCUUGUGGCCCCAAGUGCGCUUCCACCAACAUCCCAAGCAGGUUCCACCUCAGGGCCUUUGCACUUGCUGUUCCCACAGCCACAUGACCUGUUCCUCCUCCUCUAGGUCUCUGCUCUGAUGUCACCUUCUUAGUGAAGCCUUUCCUGACUACCCCAUUUGAAACUGCUUCACACACACACACAAGCCUCCCCAUCCCCCUUCUCUUUUCCUCCACAGCACUUAUAACCUUCUAACAUUUUAAAUGUUUACUUAAAUAUUCAAGUAUCUGUUUUCCCCUUUAAAGUAUAACCUCACCAAGGCAGGAAUUUUUGUUCAUUGUGUUCACCACUCUACUCCCAGCUCCCCAAAUAGUGCCUGCAUCUCCUAGGUGCUCAAUAAAUCAUUGUUGAAUGAAUGAGUAAUAAGUAA